UACGGGGGGGGCAAGCGUUGUUCGGAAUUACUGGGCGUAAAGGGUUCGUAGGUGGCCAACUAAGUCAGACGUGAAAUCCCUCAGCUCAACUGGGGAACUGCGUCUGAUACUGGUUGGCUUGAGUGCAGGAGAGGAACGCGGAAUUCCAGGUGUAGCGGUGAAAUGCGUAGAUAUCUGGAGGAACACCGGUGGCGAAGGCGGUUCUCUGGGCCUGUUCUGACGCUGAGGAGCGAAAGCGUGGGGAGCGAACAGG
rnacentral:rRNA from 1 species